rnacentral:rRNA from 1 species
UUAGCGGCGGACGGGUGAGUAACACGUGGGUAACCUGCCUGUAAGACUGGGAUAACUCCGGGAAACCGGGGCUAAUACCGGAUGGUUGUUUGAACCGCAUGGUUCAAACAUAAAAGGUGGCUUCGGCUACCACUUACAGAUGGACCCGCGGCGCAUUAGCUAGUUGGUGAGGUAACGGCUCACCAAGGCAACGAUGCGUAGCCGACCUGAGAGGGUGAUCGGCCACACUGGGACUGAGACACGGCCCAGACUCCUACGGGAGGCAGCAGUAGGGAAUCUUCCGCAAUGGACGAAAGUCUGACGGAGCAACGCCGCGUGAGUGAUGAAGGUUUUCGGAUCGUAAAGCUCUGUUGUUAGGGAAGAACAAGUACCGUUCGAAUAGGGCGGUACCUUGACGGUACCUAACCAGAAAGCCACGGCUAACUACGUGCCAGCAGCCGCGGUAAUACGUAGGUGGCAAGCGUUGUCCGGAAUUAUUGGGCGUAAAGGGCUCGCAGGCGGUUUCUUAAGUCUGAUGUGAAAGCCCCCGGCUCAACCGGGGAGGGUCAUUGGAAACUGGGGAACUUGAGUGCAGAAGAGGAGAGUGGAAUUCCACGUGUAGCGGUGAAAUGCGUAGAGAUGUGGAGGAACACCAGUGGCGAAGGCGACUCUCUGGUCUGUAACUGACGCUGAGGAGCGAAAGCGUGGGGAGCGAACAGGAUUAGAUACCCUGGUAGUCCA